rnacentral:rRNA from 1 species
AGUGAACGUUGGCGGUAGGCCUAACACAUGCAAGUCGAACGGCAGCACAGGAGAGCUUGCUCCCUGGGUGGCGAGUGGCGGACGGGUGAGGAAUACAUCGGAAUCUACUCUGUCGUGAGGGAUAACGUAGGGAAACUUACGCAAGUACCGCAUACUACCUACGGGUGAAAGCAGGGGAUCUUCGGACCUUGCGCGAUUGAGUGAGCCGAUGUCGGAUUAGCUAGUUGGCGGGGUAAGGGCCCACCAAGGUGACGAUCCGUAGCUGGUCUGAGAGGAUGAUCAGCCACACUGGAACUGAGACACGGUCCAGACUCCUACGGGAGGCAGCAGUGGGGAAUAUUGGACAAUGGGCGCAAGCCUGAUCCAGCCAUACCGCGUGGGUGAAGAAGGCCUUCGGGUUGUGAAGAACUUUUGUUGGGAAAGAAAUCCAGCUGGUUAAUACCCGGUUGGGAUGACGGUACCCAAAGAAUAAGCACCGGCUAACUUCGUGCCAGCCGCCGCCGUAA